GAUGAACGCUGGCGGCGUGCCUAAUACAUGCAAGUAGAACGCUGAAGGAGGAGCUUGCUUCUCUGGAUGAGUUGCGAACGGGUGAGUAACGCGUAGGUAACCUGCCUGGUAGCGGGGGAUAACUAUUGGAAACGAUAGCUAAUACCGCAUAAGAGUAGAUGUUGCAUGACAUUUGCUUAAAAGGUGCAAUUGCAUCACUACCAGAUGGACCUGCGUUGUAUUAGCUAGUUGGUGGGGUAACGGCUUACCAAGGCGACGAUACAUAGCCGACCUGAGAGGGUGAUCGGCCACACUGGGACUGAGACACGGCCCAGACUCCUACGGGAGGCAGCAGUAGGGAAUCUUCGGCAAUGGACGGAAGUCUGACCGAGCAACGCCGCGUGAGUGAAGAAGGUUUUCGGAUCGUAAAGCUCUGUUGUAAGAGAAGAACGAGUGUGAGAGUGGAAAGUUCACACUGUGACGGUAUCUUACCAGAAAGGGACGGCUAACUACGUG
rnacentral:rRNA from 1 species